rnacentral:rRNA from 1 species
UCAGUUGUGAAAGUUUGCGGCUCAACCGUAAAAUUGCAGUUGAUACUGGGUGUCUUGAGUACAGUAGAGGCAGGCGGAAUUCGUGGUGUAGCGGUGAAAUGCUUAGAUAUCACGAAGAACUCCGAUUGCGAAGGCAGCUUGCUGGACUGUAACUGACGCUGAUGCUCGAAAGUGUGGGUAUCAAACAGGAUUAGAUACCCUGGUAGUCCACACAGUAAACGAUGAAUACUCGCUGUUUGCGAUAUACAGUAAGCGGCCAAGCGAAAGCGUUAAGUAUUCCACCUGGGGAGUACGCCGGCAACGGUGAAACUCAAAGGAAUUGACGGGGGCCCGCACAAGCGGAGGAACAUGUGGUUUAAUUCGAUGAUACGCGAGGAACCUUACCCGGGCUUGAAUUGCAACUGAAUGAUGUGGAGACAUGUCAGCCGCAAGGCAGUUGUGAAGGUGCUGCAUGGUUGUCGUCAGCUCGUGCCGUGAGGUGUCGGCUUAAG